ensembl:lncRNA
CUGAAAUAGGAUAAACACCUUAACCCUAGACUAGCCUGGUGGUCUCUCCUUUUUACCUGCUUUCAGUUUACAGUAUCCUACCAGCCGGGGAAAAAGAACCUGAAAGCUGACACACUAUCCCGACAGUUCGAUCCGCCUACCUGUGUUCCAGAACAUGAACCCAUCCUGCCUUCUGCCUGUAUUGCAGCUCCCGUACAGUGGGAGAUCCAGUCUGCUCUCCAGGAUGCCAAACCACUGAGCUAAUGUCCAGAAAAUACUGGUGGUCCUCUCUACUGGCUGAUGUUAAGGAUUAUGUCCUGUCAUGUCCUCUUUGUGCCCAAUAUAAGUAUUGCAUGCUAGCUUUUGCCUGGUAAACUAUUGCCCUUGCCAGUCCCUCAAAGACCAUGGUCCUACAUUGCUCUAGACUUCAUCUCUGAUUUCUCUGUCUCAUCUGGAUUGACUUAUAUUUUGGCAGCCAUUGAUAUAUUCUCCAAAAUGAUAUAUUCUCUUAAUUCCUCUGCCUCAUCUCUCCAGUGCCAUGGAAAUUGCGGAAAACCUGUUCAACCAAGUUUUCAGAUUGUAUCCCUGAGGGCAUUGUGUCCAACCGUGGACCACAGUUCAUCUCCCACAUCUGGAAAUUAUUCUGCUACGGCUCACCGUCACAUCCAGCAAGCCUCUCAGAGACCGAAUAGGUCCUCCGACAGGCACCAUUGAACCAUCCCGCUAUUCUACCCUGGUCAGCAAGUAUGGUUGUCAACCUGGGACAUCCGUCUCUGUCUUCCCAGCAAAAAGCUGAGCCCCAGAGGAGAGCCAGCAUACACAGUCCAGAGCAUCCUGGACUCCAGGCGCCUCAGGGGUGGUCUCCUGUACCUCAUGGAGUGGGAAGGAUAUGGACCUGAAGAGGGUCCUGAGUCACUGCCCAGGACAUCCUGGACUGAUCCGGUCUUUCCUUCGGGACAGACCUGACCGUUACGCUCCUUUCCCUAGAGGGCAACCACCCAAACAACCAGGAUUCAGUUUUUUGCCUUUUUACG